rnacentral:rRNA from 1 species
UACGAAGGACCCGAGCGUUAUCCGGAUUUAUUGGGUUUAAAGGGUGCGUAGGCGGACCUAUAAGUCAGUGGUGAAAGCCCCAAGCUUAACUUGGGAACUGCCAUUGAAACUAUUUGUCUUGAGUACAUUUGAGGCGGGCGGAAUGUGUCAUGUAGAGGUGAAAUUCUUAGAUAUGACACAGAACACCAAUUGCGAAGGCAGCUCGCUAAACUGUAACUGACGCCGAGGCACGAAAGCGUGGGUAGCAAACAGG